rnacentral:rRNA from 1 species
UACGUAGGGGGCGAGCGUUGUCCGGAUUUAUUGGGCGUAAAGAGCUCGUAGGCGGUUGGGUAAGUCGGGUGUGAAAACUCAGGGCUCAACUCUGAGACGCCACUCGAUACUGCCCUGACUCGAGUCCGGUAGGGGAGCGUGGAAUUCCCGGUGUAGCGGUGAAAUGCGCAGAUAUUGGGAAGAACACCAGUGGCGAAGGCGGUUCUCUGGGACGGUACUGACGCUGAGACGCGAAAGCGUGGGGAGCGAACAGG